rnacentral:rRNA from 1 species
UUAAAUUUGUAAGGGCGUAUGGUGGAUGCCUUGGCAUUAGAAGCUGAUGAAGGACGUGACUAACUACGAUAUGCUUCGGGGAGAUGUACGUAAUCUUUGAUCCGGAGAUUUCCGAAUGGGGGAACCCACUAGUGGUAAUGCACUAGUAUCACAUAAUGAAUAUAUAGUUAUGUAGAAAGCAACCCAGUGAACUGAAACAUCUUAGUAACUGGAGGAACAGAAAGAAAAAUCGAUUUCCUUAGUAGUGGCGAGCGAAAUGGAAAGAGCCCAAACCAACUUUAGAGUUGGGGUUGUAGGACCUCUCUAUAAGAGUUACAAAUUCAUAACAUAGUUGAACUUUUCUGGAAAGUUAGACGAAACAAGGUGAUAGUCCUGUAAACGAAAUGUUAUGAACUCUUUGAGGUAUCCUGAGUACAACGAGACACGAGAAAUCUUGUUGGAAUCUGCGGGGACCAUCCCGUAAGGCUAAAUACUCUCUAAUGACCGAUAGUGAACAAGUACCGUGAGGGAAAGGUGAAAAGAACCCCGGGAGGGGAGUGAAAUAGAAACUGAAACCGUAUGCUUACAAAAAGUUCGAGCACAUUAAUGUGUGAGAGCGUGCCUUUUGCAGAAUGAACCGGCGAGUUAUUGUAUUAUGCAAGGUUAAGUCGAACAGAUGGAGCCGAAGCGAAAGCGAGUCUGAAUAGGGCGCUUAAGUAUGAUGCAAUAGACCCGAAACCGAGUGAUCUAGCCAUGAGCAGGUUGAAGUUGGGGUAAGACCCAAUGGAGGACCGAACCGAUAUGCCCGGAAACGCGUACGGAUGACUUGUGGUUAGCGGAGAAAUUCCAAACGAACUCGGAGAUAGCUGGUUCUCCCCGAAAUAGGUUUAGGCCUAGCCUUGAUUGAAUCUGCCCGGAGGUAGAGCACUGAAUGUGCGAUGGCGUCGUCUAGAUGUACUGAGUACAAUCAAACUCCGAAUGCUGGGUAGUACUAAUCAGGAGUCACUGUAUGGGUGAUAACGUCCAUACGGGAGAGGAAAAGAAUCCGGAUCGCCAGCUAAGGUCCCAAAAUUUGUGUUAAGUGGGAAAGGAUGUAGAGUUGUCAAAACAGCUAGGAGGUUGGCUUAGAAGCAGCCACCCUUUAAAGAGUGCGUAAUAGCUCACUAGUCGAGUGACACUGCGCCGAAGAUGUACCGGGGCUAAACACAAUACCGAAGCUGCGGACUUGCAUGUAAGUGCAAGUGGUAGGGGAGCGUUCUAAGUGCUGAGAAGGUAGACCGUAAGGACUGCUGGAGCGCUUAGAAGUGAGAAUGCCGGUGUGAGUAACGAAAAUUGGGUGAGAAUCCCAUUCACCGUUUGACUAAGGGUUCCUGGGUAAAGUUCGUCUUCCCAGGGUAAGUCAGGACCUAAGAUGAGGCUGAAAAGCGUAGUCGAUGGACAACAGGUUGAUAUUCCUGUACCACCUAUAUGACUGAAGGAGUGACGGAGAAAGCUAGUGAGAGCCAGUUAAUGGAUUCUGGUUUAAGUGCGUAGGCUAGUAUGUUGGCAAAUCCGCAAUACUAUAACAGCUGAAACAUGAUGGGGAAGAGAGUCUUCGGACAAUCGAACUUUCAUGAUGCUAUGCUUCCAAGAAAAGCUUCUAGGGUUAAUCGUAUAGGUGCCUGUACCGACAACCGACACAGGUGGUCAAGGAGAGUAUCCUAAGGUGAGCGAGAGAACUAUGGUUAAGGAACUCGGCAAAAUGACCCCGUAACUUCGGGAGAAGGGGUGGUCUAGCGAUAGACCCGCAGUGAAUAGGCCCAGGCAACUGUUUACCAAAAACACAGGUCUCUGCUAACACGUAAGUGGAUGUAUAGGGGCUGACGCCUGCCCAGUGCUGGAAGGUUAAAGAGAUUAGUUAGUAUGACGUAAGUCGAUAAUACGAAGCUUUGAACUGAAGCCCCAGUGAACGGCGGCCGUAACUAUAACGGUCCUAAGGUAGCGAAAUUCCUUGUCAGGUAAGUUCUGACCCGCACGAAAGGCGUAAUGAUUUGGGCACUGUCUCAACAGCCCGCCCGGCGAAAUUGUAGUACCGGUGAAGAUGCCGGUUACCCGCGACAAGACG